UGCGGUUAUACAAAUAAUAUAAUUUAAUUUUAUUAAUGAAAAUUAUUAUUUUUAUAAAAUAAUAUAUUUAAAUUUAUUAGGUGAVAUUUUAAAUUUAAUUUUUAUUUUAAUAAUUAAAUGAAGUUUGGAAAUUUUAAUAUUAAACUAGGAUUAGAUACCCUAUUAUUUAAAAUGUAAUUAUUAUUAUUAAAUUAUUAUUAGUUAUGUUCUUUAAAAUUAAAAAUUUUGGCGGUAUUUUAGUCUUUUCAGAGGAACCUGUUUUUUAAAUGAUAAUCCACGAUUUAAUUUACUUUUAUUAUUAGUUUGUAUAUCAUCGUAAUUAAGUAUUUUAUUAGAAUUAAAUAUUUAAGAUUUUAAAUUAAGAAAUUAUUCAGAUCAAGGUGCAAUUUAUAUAAAAGUUAAAAUGGGUUACAUUAAAUAUAUUUUAAGAAAAUUUUUAUUAAUAGAAAUUUGAAUUUGGAUUUGAUAGUAAUUUUGAUUAAUUUAUCUAAAUGAUUUUGCUCUAARAUAUGU
rnacentral:rRNA from 1 species